GUGACCCUUGACUAGGAUUGAACUGUUGCAGAAAUGGCAUCUGACAGGGAUGCAGUUGUUGAUUCUGUGCAGGCCAUGAUACAUUAUUAGCUGGAAAUCCAACAGGAAUGACUGCAUUCUGUGACUGCUGAGAAGGCAGCCCAUUUACCCAGACUCCAUCUGAAGGUCGGAAAACACCAGAUGGUGUUGCCAUUGGUGAAAAUGGUGGACAAAAGCCACUUCCACUACGAAAAUCCUGUCCUUUGGUAGAAGAUGAAAUAUUAUUCAUUGAUGCUCCUAUAGAAGAUUUAUUAUGCUGGUUCUGAUUUGGAGGUGACUGACCCACACCCACCAACGCUUGCUGCCCUGAAGGUGUAUUAUUCUUCCAAUUGCCAUUCCUAUUGUUAACUUUCUUCCUAUUGUUUUUCUUGUUUCCAACUGUCUGAUUAUUCAGGCCCCUCUUUGACAUUCUUUGCAUUCUCCUAUACUCUGCCUCUUUCUCAUCAUCUGAGAACUCUCCAUCAUCUGACAACUCUUCAUCAUUCUCGCCAGAUGCAUCAUACCCUUUCUUGUAAAGAUUCUUAUCACUAAGCACAUGACUAGCAAACUCAGAAACAAAAGAAAUCAAGGUUCCUUGACAGAUGCCAGCAGGGACUUCACUUUCAGAAUUGUA
rnacentral:misc_RNA from 1 species